rnacentral:piRNA from 1 species
UCUAGGAGCCUGCUGCUGUGUUCUGGCUAGA